rnacentral:rRNA from 1 species
AACGAACGCUGGCGGCAGGCUUAACACAUGCAAGUCGAGCGCCCCGCAAGGGGAGCGGCAGACGGGUGAGUAACACGUGGGAAUCUACCCAUCCCUACGGAACAACUCCGGGAAACUGGAGCUAAUACCGUAUACGCCCUUUGGGGGAAAGAUUUAUCGGGGAUGGAUGAGCCCGCGUCGGAUUAGCUAGUUGGUGGGGUAAAGGCCUACCAAGGCGACGAUCCGUAGCUGGUCUGAGAGGAUGAUCAGCCACACUGGGACUGAGACACGGCCCAGACUCCUACGGGAGGCAGCAGUGGGGAAUAUUGGACAAUGGGCGCAAGCCUGAUCCAGCCAUGCAGCGUGAGUGAUGAAGGCCUUAGGGUUGUAAAGCUCUUUCGCCAGGGACGAUAAUGACGGUACCUGGAUAAGAAGCCCCGGCUAACUUCGUGCCAGCCGCCGCCGUAAGAC